rnacentral:rRNA from 1 species
UACGUAGGUGGCAAGCGUUGUCCGGAUUUACUGGGCGUAAAGCGAACGCAGGCGGGCCUUUAAGUAGGAAGUGAAAGGUUGGAGCUUAACUCUAACACUGCUCCCUAUACUGGAGGCCUUGAGUGCCGGAGAGGAAGACGGAACUGCAGGUGUAGCGGUGAAAUGCGUUGAUAUCUGCAGGAACACCAAUGGCGAAAGCAGUCUUCUGGACGGAUACUGACGCUCAGGUUCGAAAGCCAAGGUAGCAAACAGG